AUUGAACGCUGGCGGCAUGCCUUACACAUGCAAGUCGAACGGCAGCACGGGAGCAAUCCUGGUGGCGAGUGGCGAACGGGUGAGUAAUAUAUCGGAACGUGCCCAGUCGUGGGGAUAACGUAGCGAAAGCUACGCUAAUAUCGCAUACGAUCUAUGGAUGAAAGCGGGGGAUCGCAAGACCUCGCGCGAUUGGAGCGGCCGAUAUCAGAUUAGGUAGUUGGUGAGGUAAAGGCUCACCAAGCCGACGAUCUGUAGCUGGUCUGAGAGGACGACCAGCCACACUGGGACUGAGACACGGCCCAGACUCCUACGGGAGGCAGCAGUGGGGAAUUUUGGACAAUGGGCGAAAGCCUGAUCCAGCCAUGCCGCGUGUGUGAAGAAGGUCUUCGGAUUGUAAAGCACUUUAAGUUGGGAGGAAGGGUAGUAACCUAAUACGUUGCUACUUUGACGUUACCGACAGAAUAAGCACCGGCUAACUUCGUGCCAG
rnacentral:rRNA from 1 species